AAUAAGUAAAAAUUACCAUGCUGGCGGGCUUAAAAUGAUAAACAUAGAUAAAUAUCUAGAAGCGAUAAAUAUUAGUUGGGUAAAAAAACUCAUCGAAAACGAAGAUCUAUCACCCAAUUGGAAAGUAUUACCAAGAUUUUAUUUUGAUAAAUUUGGACAAGAAUUCCUUAUAUUUAAAAUGAAUUUCAACAAUAUUAAUUUGGUCUAUAAACUGAAAGAACUAAUUCCACAAUUUUACUUAAGAAUAAUCAAAUCAUGGAUAAAUACAAAAUCUGAAAAAGGAAUUGGAUCAUCUAUCAUAUAAACAAAUAAGACAGCAGCUUAUAUGGGGCAAUAAAAAUAUCAAAUUAAACGGUAAAUGUCUCAUCUUCAAAAACUGGAUAAACAGCAAAAUUCUUUUUUUAAAUGACAUUAUUGAUAAUAAAGGAAAAUUUAAUCAAAACAUGAUCUUAGAGAUAAACUUUCCUGUCAUGCUAACUGGUUUUCAGAAUAUUCUAAAUUAAUGAAAGCAAUACCAAAACAGUGGUUACAAGAGCUAACUAAAGAAGAAUCAUUAAAAACAAAAGUUGCCAUUGACUCCGAAUAUAAAUUUAAAGAUAAAAAAGGAAAAAUGGUAUCACUUAAAAACAUUUCCUCCAAAGACAUUUACAUCUCCCUCUUAAAUAGAUAUUAUGAAAAACCAAUAGGAUUUCAAAAAUGGGACAACAUAUUUAUCUUGGAAAACAACACAAACAAAAGACAACAAAUGCUAAAUUAUAUCUUUUAUUAUAUACAAGAUAAUAAAUUCAAAAUGUUAAGAUGGAAAUUUCUGCACUACAUUUUACCAACCAAACAAUUACUUUUCUCUUGGAAAAUAACUAAAACUCCGCUAUGUAAUAUUUGUGAUGUCAUCGAAGAUUAUGAGCACUACUUUUUAACAUGCAAAUUUCUGAAAUCAUUUUGGGAUAAAAUAAAACUUUUACUUGAU
rnacentral:lncRNA from 1 species